rfam:Oryzias latipes DNA, chromosome7, strain: Hd-rR.
GUAGGCUACGGAGACAUGUGUCCCAUUACUGUGGCGGGUAAGAUUGUUGGCACCUUGUGUGCAAUAGCAGGUGUAUUGACGAUAGCGUUGCCUGUUCCUGUCAUUGUUUCAAAC